GGGUUGUGAGGUUAAGCGACUAAGCGUACACGGUGGAUGCCCUGGCAGUCAGAGGCGAUGAAGGACGUGCUAAUCUGCGAUAAGCGUCGGUAAGGUGAUAUGAACCGUUAUAACCGGCGAUUUCCGAAUGGGGAAACCCAGUGUGAUUCGUCACACUAUCAUUAACUGAAUCCAUAGGUUAAUGAGGCGAACCGGGGGAACUGAAACAUCUAAGUACCCCGAGGAAAAGAAAUCAACCGAGAUUCCCCCAGUAGCGGCGAGCGAACGGGGAGCAGCCCAGAGCCUGAAUCAGUGUGUGUGUUAGUGGAAGCGUCUGGAAAGGCGCGCGAUACAGGGUGACAGCCCCGUACACAAAAAUGCACAUGCUGUGAGCUCGAUGAGUAGGGCGGGACACGUGGUAUCCUGUCUGAAUAUGGGGGGACCAUCCUCCAAGGCUAAAUACUCCUGACUGACCGAUAGUGAACCAGUACCGUGAGGGAAAGGCGAAAAGAACCCCGGCGAGGGGAGUGAAAAAGAACCUGAAACCGUGUACGUACAAGCAGUGGGAGCACAGAGCAAUCUGUGUGACUGCGUACCUUUUGUAUAAUGGGUCAGCGACUUAUAUUCUGUAGCAAGGUUAACCGAAUAGGGGAGCCGAAGGGAAACCGAGUCUUAACUGGGCGUUAAGUUGCAGGGUAUAGACCCGAAACCCGGUGAUCUAGCCAUGGGCAGGUUGAAGGUUGGGUAACACUAACUGGAGGACCGAACCGACUAAUGUUGAAAAAUUAGCGGAUGACUUGUGGCUGGGGGUGAAAGGCCAAUCAAACCGGGAGAUAGCUGGUUCUCCCCGAAAGCUAUUUAGGUAGCGCCUCGUGAAUUCAUCUCCGGGGGUAGAGCACUGUUUCGGCAAGGGGGUCAUCCCGACUUACCAACCCGAUGCAAACUGCGAAUACCGGAGAAUGUUAUCACGGGAGACACACGGCGGGUGCUAACGUCCGUCGUGAAGAGGGAAACAACCCAGACCGCCAGCUAAGGUCCCAAAGUCAUGGUUAAGUGGGAAACGAUGUGGGAAGGCCCAGACAGCCAGGAUGUUGGCUUAGAAGCAGCCAUCAUUUAAAGAAAGCGUAAUAGCUCACUGGUCGAGUCGGCCUGCGCGGAAGAUGUAACGGGGCUAAACCAUGCACCGAAGCUGCGGCAGCGACGCUUAUGCGUUGUUGGGUAGGGGAGCGUUCUGUAAGCCUGUGAAGGUGUACUGUGAGGUAUGCUGGAGGUAUCAGAAGUGCGAAUGCUGACAUAAGUAACGAUAAAGCGGGUGAAAAGCCCGCUCGCCGGAAGACCAAGGGUUCCUGUCCAACGUUAAUCGGGGCAGGGUGAGUCGACCCCUAAGGCGAGGCCGAAAGGCGUAGUCGAUGGGAAACAGGUUAAUAUUCCUGUACUUGGUGUUACUGCGAAGGGGGGACGGAGAAGGCUAUGUUGGCCGGGCGACGGUUGUCCCGGUUUAAGCGUGUAGGCUGGUUUUCCAGGCAAAUCCGGAAAAUCAAGGCUGAGGCGUGAUGACGAGGCACUACGGUGCUGAAGCAACAAAUGCCCUGCUUCCAGGAAAAGCCUCUAAGCAUCAGGUAACAUCAAAUCGUACCCCAAACCGACACAGGUGGUCAGGUAGAGAAUACCAAGGCGCUUGAGAGAACUCGGGUGAAGGAACUAGGCAAAAUGGUGCCGUAACUUCGGGAGAAGGCACGCUGAUAUGUAGGUGAAGUCCCUCGCGGAUGGAGCUGAAAUCAGUCGAAGAUACCAGCUGGCUGCAACUGUUUAUUAAAAACACAGCACUGUGCAAACACGAAAGUGGACGUAUACGGUGUGACGCCUGCCCGGUGCCGGAAGGU
rnacentral:rRNA from 1 species